AUUGGUGCUAUAGAGGGGUUUUUUUUCUUUCUAAUGGAUUAAGUCUUGUAGUACUUACACAUAUCAUAUCAAAAUGUGUAUCUGCAUUCACAGCUUUAUCUGCAAAAUUAAGCGGAGGCGAUUCGCAUCCAUAACCACGGAUACAGAUACUCAUGGAUAUUAAGUGGAUACCCAUGGAUUUGCAGAGUUUUAAUUACUGAAAAAUGGUCCUUCGUGGUCAUGCUUGAGGCACUCUGGGAGACCCACAAGAGGAGAUGUGUACUGUCCUUAAUUGUACUGCUGCCCUGACAUGGGUAAAGAGGAUUCUAGUGUCAGAAAGCACCUGCACUAGGAUCGUGUUUCCAUUCCACAGAGACCAAAGGGUAAAACCAAUCACACACAUCUACUGAUUUAUGGAAACAUGCACUGUCCAGAGGUCUGCUGUAGUGACAGCAACUGCUCAUCACUGUACAAUUCUCUCAGCUAUCAAACUGUUAUGCAAAAACUUUUCCUAUCGAUAGCCUGUGUUUUGUGUGACUGGAUUUGUAUUAAAGCUAAUAAACUCUCUCUACCAUUGGUGAUUUGACCUCUGAGUAUCUCUGUAUGGAACAUAAAUCUGGCACGUACCAGUUCUUAUAAACACAACUAAUGUAGCAAUUAUCCUCUCUCAUGGAAAACAGGUGGCAAAUCUGUCACCAGAUCAGUAGCAUUUUCAGUUACAUUUUGUCCUCCAUUAUUAGCAAAUAUAAACUUCCCAUCAAAAGUUCUCAGACACUUGGAAUUUAGUGUGAGUUAAACUUUACUGUUUAUUGUUAUUUAAUAAGAAAUGUAUUGAUUAAAUAUGCUCUUCUUUAUACUGCAAAUUAAUUUUUCUUAUGAUUGAACUGCAUUUUGUAUAGCAGAUUUUUGAUAUUUAUGUGCCUUUCUCUGGGUGUUUUGUAAUAUGUAAAUCUUUACAGCGAGAAGGAACA